rnacentral:rRNA from 1 species
AUGCUUAACACAUGCAAGUCGAACGGUAACAUAGCUAGCUUGCUAGCUGAUGACGAGUGGCGGACGGGUGAGUAAUGCAUAGGAAUCUGCCUAUUAGUGGGGGACAACCUGUGGAAACGCAGGCUAAUACCGCAUAAGCCCUACGGGGGAAAGCGGGGGAUCUUCGGACCUCGCGCUAAUAGAUGAGCCUAUGUCAGAUUAGCUAGUUGGUGAGGUAAUGGCUCACCAAGGCGACGAUCUGUAGCUGGUCUGAGAGGAUGAUCAGCCACACUGGGACUGAGACACGGCCCAGACUCCUACGGGAGGCAGCAGUGGGGAAUAUUGGACAAUGGGCGAAAGCCUGAUCCAGCAAUGCCGCGUGUGUGAAGAAGGCCUGCGGGUUGUAAAGCACUUUCAGUCGGGAGGAAGAGAGGGUCGUUAAUAGCGACCCAGGAUGACGUUACCGACAGAAGAAGCACCGGCUAACUCCGUGCCAGCAGCCGCGGUAAUACGAAGGGUGCGAGCGUUAAUCGGAAUUACUGGGCGUAAAGGGCGCGUAGGCGGCGUGAUCAGUCAGAUGUGAAAGCCCCGGGCUUAACCUGGGAAUUGCAUUUGAUACUGUCAUGCUCGAGUUUGGUAGAGGGGAGUGGAAUUUCCGGUGUAGCGGUGAAAUGCGUAGAGAUCGGAAGGAACACCAGUGG